rnacentral:rRNA from 1 species
UACAGAGGUCUCAAGCGUUGUUCGGAUUCAUUGGGCGUAAAGGGUGCGUAGGCGGCUCGUCGCGUCGACCGUGAAAACCCGCGGCUUAACUGCGGGCUUGCGGUUGAUACGGGCGGGCUAGAGUUCGGUAGGGGAGACUGGAAUUCCUGGUGUAGCGGUGAAAUGCGCAGAUAUCAGGAGGAACACCGGUGGCGAAGGCGGGUUGCUGGGCUGACACUGACGCUGACAGCGCGAAAGCUAGGGGAGCGAACGGG